UGGGGAAUAUUGGACAAUGGGCGCAAGCCUGAUCCAGCCAUGCCGCGUGAGUGACGAAGGCCUUAGGGUUGUAAAGCUCUUUUGGCGGGGAAGAUAAUGACGGUACCCGCAGAAUAAGCUCCGGCUAACUUCGUGCCAGCAGCCGCGGUAAUACGAAGGGAGCUAGCGUUGUUCGGAAUCACUGGGCGUAAAGCGCACGUAGGCGGAUGUGUCAGUCAGGGGUGAAAUCCCGGAGCUCAACUUCGGAACUGCCCUUGAUACAGCACGUCUUGAGUCCGAUAGAGGUGGGUGGAAUUCCUAGUGUAGAGGUGAAAUUCGUAGAUAUUCGGAGGAACACCAGUGGCGAAGGCGGCUCACUGGACCAUUACUGACGCUGAGGUGCGAAAGCGUGGGGAGCAAACAGGAUUAGAUACCCCCGUAGUCCCUGAGCGGGCUGGCAAGGCGCAU
rnacentral:rRNA from 1 species